rnacentral:rRNA from 4 species
GGGUUGUGAGGUUAAGCGACUAAGCGUACACGGUGGAUGCCCUGGCAGUCAGAGGCGAUGAAGGACGUGCUAAUCUGCGAUAAGCGCCGGUAAGGUGAUAUGAACCGUUAUAACCGGCGAUUUCCGAAUGGGGAAACCCAGUGUGAUUCGUCACACUAUCAUUAACUGAAUCCAUAGGUUAAUGAGGCGAACCGGGGGAACUGAAACAUCUAAGUACCCCGAGGAAAAGAAAUCAACCGAGAUUCCCCCAGUAGCGGCGAGCGAACGGGGAGGAGCCCAGAGCCUGAAUCAGCAUGUGUGUUAGUGGAAGCGUCUGGAAAGGUGCGCGAUACAGGGUGACAGCCCCGUACACAAAAGCGCAUGUGCUGUGAGCUCGAUGAGUAGGGCGGGACACGUGGUAUCCUGUCUGAAUAUGGGGGGACCAUCCUCCAAGGCUAAAUACUCCUGACUGACCGAUAGUGAACCAGUACCGUGAGGGAAAGGCGAAAAGAACCCCGGCGAGGGGAGUGAAAAAGAACCUGAAACCGUGUACGUACAAGCAGUGGGAGCACAGGUUUACCUG